UACGGAGGGAGCUAGCGUUGUUCGGAAUUACUGGGCGUAAAGCGCACGUAGGCGGCUUUGUAAGUUAGAGGUGAAAGCCCGGGGCUCAACUCCGGAACUGCCUUUAAGACUGCAUCGCUUGAAUCCGGGAGAGGUGGAGUGGAAUUCCGAGUGUAGAGGUGAAAUGCGUAGAUAUUGGGAGGAACACCAGAUGCGAAGGCGGGUCACUGGGCUGAUACUG
rnacentral:rRNA from 1 species